UACGGAGGGGACUAGCGUUGUUCGGAAUUACUGGGCGUAAAGCGCACGUAGGCGGAUUUGUAAGUCAGGGGCGAAAUCCCGGGGCUCAACCUCGGAACUGCCUUUGAUACUGCAAAUCUCGAGUCCGGAAGAGGCGAGUGGAAUUCCCGGUGUAGCGGUGAAAUGCGCAGAUAUCGGGAGGAACACCAAUGGCGAAGGCAGCUCGCUGGGACGGUACUGACGCUGAGGCGCGAAAGCGUGGGGAGCAAACAGG
rnacentral:rRNA from 1 species